CUAAAGGAGCCCUUAACGCGACCAUUGGGCAAGACAUCAACGCUUAAUUUUCUGUGAAAUAGGAAUUGAUCACAAAAAUAAUAAUAACAGUAGCAAUUGCUUGAUUGGGAACUCCAGAGGCUACGUCACCGGAGAUCGCGCGGAGGAUCUUCUUUCCCAGCGGCAAACUCGUUGAAGCCAUCCAUCAAACAAGAGCCAUGG
rnacentral:misc_RNA from 1 species